UACGGGGGGGGCAAGCGUUGUUCGGAAUUACUGGGCGUAAAGGGCGCGUAGGCGGUGCUCUAAGUCGGAUGUGAAAACUCUGGGCUCAACCCAGAGCCUGCAUCCGAAACUGGAGUGCUAGAGUUCUGGAGGGGGUAGCGGAAUUCCUGGUGUAGCGGUGAAAUGCGUAGAUAUCAGGAGGAACACCGGGGGCGAAGGCGGCUACCUGGACAGAAACUGACGCUGAGGCGCGAAAGCUAGGGGAGCAAACAGG
rnacentral:rRNA from 1 species